rnacentral:rRNA from 1 species
GACAGAGGGGGCAAGCGUUGCUCGGAAUCACUGGGCGUAAAGGGCGCGUAGGCGGGAUGGCAAGUCGGUCGUGAAAUCCUUCGGCUCAACCGAAGAACGUCGGCCGAUACUGCCGUUCUUGAGGGAUGCAGAGGAGACUGGAAUUCCUGGUGUAGCGGUGAAAUGCGCAGAUAUCAGGAGGAACACCGGUGGCGAAGGCGGGUCUCUGGGCCGAUAUCGACGCUGAGGAGCGAAAGCGUGGGGAGCGAACGGG